rnacentral:rRNA from 1 species
AUUGAACGCUGGCGGCAUGCCUUACACAUGCAAGUCGAACGGCAGCACGGGUGCUUGCACCUGGUGGCGAGUGGCGAACGGGUGAGUAAUACAUCGGAACAUGUCCUGUAGUGGGGGAUAGCCCGGCGAAAGCCGGAUUAAUACCGCAUACGAUCUACGGAUGAAAGCGGGGGACCUUCGGGCCUCGCGCUAUAGGGUUGGCCGAUGGCUGAUUAGCUAGUUGGUGGGGUAAAGGCCUACCAAGGCGACGAUCAGUAGCUGGUCUGAGAGGACGACCAGCCACACUGGGACUGAGACACGGCCCAGACUCCUACGGGAGGCAGCAGUGGGGAAUUUUGGACAAAGGGCGAAAGCCUGAUCCAGCAAUGCCGCGUGUGUGAAGAAGGCCUUCGGGUUGUAAAGCACUUUUGUCCGGAAAGAAAUCCUUGGCCCUAAUACGGUCGGGGGAUGACGGUACCAGAAGAAUAAGCACCGGCUAACUACGUG